rnacentral:rRNA from 2 species
UGAGGAAUAUUGGUCAAUGGACGAGAGUCUGAACCAGCCAAGUAGCGUGAAGGAUGACUGCCCUAUGGGUUGUAAACUUCUUUUAUACGGGAAUAAAGUGGAGUAUGCAUACUCCUUUGUAUGUACCGUAUGAAUAAGGAUCGGCUAACUCCGUGCCAGCAGCCGCGGUAAUACGGAGGAUCCGAGCGUUAUCCGGAUUUAUUGGGUUUAAAGGGAGCGUAGGCGGGUGCUUAAGUCAGUUGUGAAAGUUUGCGGCUCAACCGUAAAAUUGCAGUUGAUACUGGGCGCCUUGAGUGCAGCAUAGGUAGGCGGAAUUCGUGGUGUAGCGGUGAAAUGCUUAGAUAUCACGAAGAACUCCGAUUGCGAAGGCAGCUUACUGGACUGUAACUGACGCUGAUGCUCGAAAGUGUGGGUAUCAAACAGG